GCUCACCGAUGAACUAGAAGAUUGUUUGUCCUGGGCACUCACACGAUUAAGGAAGAAAUUGGUUAUUCCUGGAUGUGCUAUGCAGAUCAAAGGCAACUGGAAGGAGAAUGCACAUCUCUUGUCAUUAUGUUGUACAAGCUCAUGUGGAAUUCAAUUUUAGGUUGUUUGAUAUGGUGCAAGGGCAUGCCCUAAAUGAGAGAAAGAACCAACACAAGGGGAGGAGCAGGGGUCAAACAACCGAUAUCUUGGCAAUCACUCUAUUUCUGACUUUCUAUGUUAUUGUUUUCAUUCGUUAUGAGGAAGGGGAUAACCAUCUGAUUCGGAUAUACAAAAUUGUGUAUUAAACCAUUUAAUCAUAUUGACCUACUGGACUAUUACCUUGUGUGAAGUUGCUUACCAUGGGCCUCUAUUCCUAUAGUAGACUUCUAAUUUCAUGA